UGAACGCUGACAGAAUGCUUAACACAUGCAAGUCGACUGGAAUUCUUCUUCGGAAGAUAGUACGGUGGCGGACGGGUGAGUAACGCGUAAAGAAUUUGCCCUUCAGACUGGGACAACUAAUCGAAAGGUUAGCUAAUACCGGAUAUUAUGAGACCUCGGCAUCGAGGACUUAUGAAAGCUAUAUGCGCUGGAGGAGAACUUUGCGUUCCAUUAGCUAGUUGGUAGGGUAAUGGCCUACCAAGGCGACGAUGGAUAGCCGGCCUGAGAGGGUGAACGGCCACAAGGGGACUGAGACACGGCCCUUACUCCUACGGGAGGCAGCAGUGGGGAAUAUUGGACAAUGGACCAAAAGUCUGAUCCAGCAAUUCUGUGUGCACGAUGAAGGUCUUCGGAUUGUAAAGUGCUUUCAGGUGGGAAGAAGAAAGUGACGGUACCACCAGAAGAAGCGACGGCUAAAUAC
rnacentral:rRNA from 1 species